rnacentral:rRNA from 1 species
UACGUAGGGUGCGAGCGUUGUCCGGAAUUAUUGGGCGUAAAGAGCUCGUAGGCGGCUUGUCGCGUCGACUGUGAAAUCCCGCGGCUCAACUGCGGGUCUGCAGUCGAUACGGGCAGGCUAGAGUUCGGUAGGGGAGACUGGAAUUCCUGGUGUAGCGGUGAAAUGCGCAGAUAUCAGGAGGAACACCGGUGGCGAAGGCGGGUCACUGGGCCGCAACUGACGCUGAGGAGCGAAAGCAUGGGGAGCGAACAGG